GGGUUGUAAACUUCUUUUAUAUUAGAAUAAAGUGCAGUAUGUAUACUGUUUUGUAUGUAUAAUAUGAAUAAGGAUCGGCUAACUCCGUGCCAGCAGCCGCGGUAAUACGGAGGAUCCGAGCGUUAUCCGGAUUUAUUGGGUUUAAAGGGAGCGUAGGUGGGCUGGUAAGUCAGUUGUGAAAGUUUGCGGCUCAACCGUAAAAUUGCAGUUGAUACUGUCAGUCUUGAGUACAGUAGAGGUGGGCGGAAUUCGUGGUGUAGCGGUGAAAUGCUUAGAUAUCACGAAGAACUCCGAUUGCGAAGGCAGCUCACUGGACUGCAACUGACACUGAUGCUCGAAAGUGUGGGUAUCAAACAGGAUUAGAUACCCUGGUAGUCCACACAGUAAA
rnacentral:rRNA from 1 species